rnacentral:rRNA from 1 species
GUCGAGCGGACAGAUGGGAGCUUGCUCCCUGAUGUUAGCGGCGGACGGGUGAGUAACACGUGGGUAACCUGCCUGUAAGACUGGGAUAACUCCGGGAAACCGGGGCUAAUACCGGAUGGUUGUUUGAACCGCAUGGUUCAAACAUAAAAGGUGGCUUCGGCUACCACUUACAGAUGGACCCGCGGCGCAUUAGCUAGUUGGUGAGGUAAUGGCUCACCAAGGCAACGAUGCGUAGCCGACCUGAGAGGGUGAUCGGCCACACUGGGACUGAGACACGGCCCAGACUCCUACGGGAGGCAGCAGUAGGGAAUCUUCCGCAAUGGACGAAAGUCUGACGGAGCAACGCCGCGUGAGUGAUGAAGGUUUUCGGAUCGUAAAGCUCUGUUGUUAGGGAAGAACAAGUACCGUUCGAAUAGGGCGGUACCUUGACGGUACCUAACCAGAAAGCCACGGCUAACUACGUGCCAGCAGCCGCGGUAAUACGUAGGUGGCAAGCGUUGUCCGGAAUUAUUGGGCGUAAAGGGCUCGCAGGCGGUUUCUUAAGUCUGAUGUGAAAGCCCCCGGCUCAACCGGGGAGGGUCAUUGGAAACUGGGGAACUUGAGUGCAGAAGAGGAGAGUGGAAUUCCACGUGUAGCGGUGAAAUGCGUAGAGAUGUGGAGGAACACCAGUGGCGAAGGCGACUCUCUGGUCUGUAACUGACGCUGAGGAGC